rnacentral:rRNA from 1 species
AGAGUUUGAUCCUGGCUCAGGAUGAACGCUGGCGGCAUGCCUAAUACAUGCAAGUCGAACGGACGGAAGAGAAAAGCUUGCUUUUUUUGGAAGUCAGUGGCGAACGGGUGAGUAACACGUAGGUAACCUGCCCAUGUGCCCGGGAUAAUUUCUGGAAACGGAAACUAAAACCGGAUAGGUAGGGAUCUCGCAUGAGGACCUUAUUAAAGGGGCUACGGCCCUGAACAUGGAUGGACCUGCGGUGCAUUAGCUAGUUGGUGGGGUAACGGCCUACCAAGGCGACGAUGCAUAGCCGACCUGAGAGGGCGAACGGCCACAUUGGGACUGAGACACGGCCCAAACUCCUACGGGAGGCAGCAGUAGGGAAUUUUCGUCAAUGGGGGGAACCCUGAACGAGCAAUGCCGCGUGAGUGAAGACGGUUUUCGGACUGUAAAGCUCUGUUGUAAGAGAAAAACGGCCGACAUAGGGAAUGAUGUCGGAGUGAUGGUAUCUUACCAGAAAGUCACGGCUAACUACGUGCCAGCAGCCGCGGU